GGCGAAAACAUCUUGCACUCUCAGAUUCUUGAGUUUCAGUCCUGACGGGCCAACUUCUCGUCAUGAAUUCUAUCAUUCUCUUGUUCAUGUUAGUAGGAUUUGAUCGAUUGCCAGAAUUACUUGCCGAAAUUUCGCUUGUGGGUGUGCUUGAAUAGGGCAGGAAAGCGCUUUGGUUCAGUGGAGUAAGCUCAUACCAGAAGGCAAGAUCAUC
rnacentral:misc_RNA from 1 species